UGGGGUAUAGCUUAGUGUUAGAGUGUGUGCUUAGCAUGCACAAGGUCCUGGGUUCAGUUCCCUGUAUCUCCA
rnacentral:tRNA from 1 species